UACGUAGGGUGCAAGCGUUGUCCGGAAUUAUUGGGCGUAAAGCGCGCGCAGGCGGUUCCUUAAGUCUGGUGUGAAAGCCCACGGCUCAACCGUGGAGGGUCAUUGGAAACUGGGGAACUUGAGUGCAGAAGAGAAGAGCGGAAUUCCACGUGUAGCGGUGAAAUGCGUAGAGAUAUGGAGGAACACCAGUGGCGAAGGCGGCUCUUUGGUCUGUAACUGACGCUGAGGCGCGAAAGCGUGGGGAGCAAACAGG
rnacentral:rRNA from 1 species